GAUGAACGCUGGCGGCGUGCCUAAUACAUGCAAGUCGAGCGAACAGAUGAGGAGCUUGCUCCUCUGACGUUAGCGGCGGACGGGUGAGUAACAUGUGGAUAACCUACCUAUAAGACUGGGAUAACUUCGGGAAACCGGAGAUAAUACCGGAUAAUAUAUUGAACCGCAUGGUUCAAUAGUGAAAGACGGUUUUGCUGUCACUUAUAGAUGGAUCCGCGCCGCAUUAGCUAGUUGGUAAGGUAACGGCUUACCAAGGGAACGAUGCGUAGCCGACCUGAGAGGGUGAUCGGCCACACUGGAACUGAGACACGGUCCAGACUCCUACGGGAGGCAGCAGUAGGGAAUCUGCCGCAAUGGGCGAAAGCCUGACGGAGCAGCGCCGCGUGAGUGAUGAAGGUCUUCGGAUCGUAAAACUCUGUUAUUAGUGAAGAACAAAUGUGUAAGUAGCUAUGCACGUCUUGACGGUACCUAAUCAGAAAGCCACGGCUAACUACGUG
rnacentral:rRNA from 1 species